rnacentral:rRNA from 1 species
GAUGAACGCUGGCGGCGUGCUUAACACAUGCAAGUCGAACGGAACUACUCCAAUGAGAGUCUUCGGAAAGGAUUUGGUUUAGUUUAGUGGCGGACGGGUGAGUAACGCGUGGGUAACCUGCCCUAUACAGGGGGAUAACAGUUGGAAACGACUGUUAAUACCGCAUAAGCGCACAGGAGCGCAUGCUCCGGUGUGAAAAACUCCGGUGGUAUAGGAUGGACCCGCGUCUGAUUAGCUGGUUGGCGGGGUAACGGCCCACCAAGGCGACGAUCAGUAGCCGGCCUGAGAGGGUGAACGGCCACAUUGAGACUGAGACACGGCCCAAACUCCUACGGGAGGCAGCAGUGGGGAAUAUUGCACAAUGGGGGAAACCCUGAUGCAGCGACGCCGCGUGAGCGAAGAAGUAUCUCGGUAUGUAAAGCUCUAUCAGCAGGGAAGAAAAUGACGGUACCUGACGAAGAAGCCCCGGCUAACUACGUG